rnacentral:hammerhead_ribozyme from 1 species
AUCCAGCUGACGAGUUCCAAUCAAGACGAAACGCGCGUCCUGGAU